CAGAGGUCCCGAGCGUUGUUCGGAUUCACUGGGCGUAAAGGGUGCGUAGGUGGUGAGGUAAGUCGGAUGUGAAAGCUCCGAGCUCAACUCGGAAAUGGCAUUGGAAACUACCUUGCUGGAGGGUUUGAGGGGGGACUGGAAUUCUCGGUGUAGCAGUGAAAUGCGUAGAUAUCGAGAGGAACACCAGUGGCGAAGGCGAGUCCCUGGAAAACACCUGACACUGAGGCACGAAAGCUAGGGGAGCAAACAGGAUUAGAUACCCUGGUAGUCCUAGCCGUAAACGGUGCGUAUUUGCUGUAAAAGGAAUCGACCCCUUUUGUGGCGUAGCCAACGCGUUAAAUACGCCGCCUGGGAAGUACGGUCGCAAGAUUAA
rnacentral:rRNA from 1 species